rnacentral:rRNA from 1 species
UGGGUAACCUGCCCGGAAGUGGGGAAUACCUCGGGGAAACUCGAGCUAAUACCGCAUGACAUCUUCGGGACGAAAGUCCUGGUGAUCAAAGCGGGGUCGCAAGAUCUCGCGCUACCGGAUGGGCCCGCGCCCGAUUAGCUAGUUGGUGAGAUAACGGCUCACCAAGGCUUCGAUCGGUAACCGGCCUGAGAGGGCGAUCGGUCACACCGGAACUGAGACACGGUCCGGACUCCUACGGGAGCAG